AGACAAUCGCGGCUGCAGGUGCCGAAAGGCCGCAGACGAGGAAAGUCCGGGCUUCACAGGGCAGGAUGCCGGAUAACGUCCGGUGGAGGUGACUCCAAGGCCAGUGCAACAGAAAUAAACCGCCCGGACAGAUGUAUGCUGAUACGAACAGGUAUCUGUUUCUUCCGUGUCAUCAUACAUCUGUCCGGGUAAGGGUGGAAAGGCAGUGUAAGAGACUACCGCCUCUCUGGUAACAGAGAGGGCACAUGUAAACCCCAUCCGAAGCAAGACCGGAAAGAAGCAGUGUGGCGGCCCGUCACGCUUCAGGUAGGUCGCUUGAGCACGGCGGCGACGCCGCGCCUAGACAGAUGAUUGUCCAACGACAUAACCCGGCUUAUCGUCUUGCUUA
rnacentral:RNase_P_RNA from 1 species